GGGAGCGUAGCUCAGCUUGGUCAGAGCAACGGCCUCCAAAGCCGUGUGUCGAGGGUUCGAAUCCCUCCGCUCUCG
rnacentral:tRNA from 1 species